UUUGAAAAUGGCACUGUGCUCAGCAGCCUGAUCCAAAGCUCACUGAAAUAUGUUGGAAAGUUUCCAUCCACCUCGGUGAGCUUUGUGCAUUGAGCUUUUUCAAGCUCAGGCAGCAGUUCAAAAAUAACUUUACAGCAUUAUCCCAAUUGUUUAUUUGUGUACGAACAGCACUGAAAGAGUACACAUGGCCAAGCAGAAAAAGAACACUUCAGAAUAUUUUUAAAUUGCCGUCACCAAAACCACUGACAAUAUAAAAACUCAACUAUUUAUGAUGUUGUAACACUGCCUUUAAUAGGGAUGGUGGUGGAGAAACUAUGUGUAAUAUAAUCAACAAACCAACAAACCCCAAGGCACUCCAGAGGAUUUUAAUACGCAGAAAGUUUAAAAUAUUAAACAAACAAUAAUCAUGAAAAUCAGGAUAUGAUUAAAUAGUUUUAACAAUCAAUCCUGAAAGUUUCUCUCCAAAAUUUGUUCAAACCGUUCCGAAGUCAGCUCGCGAGCUGCAGAAAACACAACAUAUAUUUUAAUGUGACCCACUAGGAUAAAAAUAAAGCCGUGCUUGUCCACUGCAGCCUGCCUUUGGGCUCAUUGAGUUAGACCGAGUACAUUUGAAAUGAAUCAAGAUGUUCAACAUCUGCCUCUUGUUAUUAGGCUAUUCUCUUCCUAUUUAUAAACAAACGCUUUGUUGGGGUUAGGCUGCGGAUUCCAUUACUCUGCGGGCUCGUGUUUCCUCAGCAAGCUGAACUUCGGGCCACGGGUAAAAGGACAGCUUUCCUAAGGUGUGGUGGAGCUCGGAGGGAAAGCCGUGAUGGGACAGCUUACAAUCCCAUCACUCAGGAGCAAGAGCCUACACUGAAGAGAUGCAACCGCAGUUCAUCAGUUUUCCACUGGAAACUUUCUCACCAAAGGAAUGUAGAUUUUGGUGGGGGUGGGGACAGAGGAAAUUUGAAACAAUUUAAAAUUUGAAAUAAUUUAAAUCCAAUUGCAAUAUACGGGUUCAGUUUUUCUUGUAUUGACUGUUUCAGUUCCAUUUCCUUAUUACUGGUAUUUUUGGAAAUAUCAAUCAGGAUCUAGUGCAAUGUUUUGGUUACGAAAAUAAAAUGUCUCAGCAACCUCCCUAAAAUGUUUUC
rnacentral:lncRNA from 1 species